CUGUCGUCAGUUCGUUUCGUGAGAUGUUGGGUUAAGUCACGCAACGAGCGCAACCCUCGCCUUUAGUUACCAUCAUUUAGUUGGGUACUCUAAAGGAACCGCCGGUGAUAAGCCGGAGGAAGGUGGGGAUGACGUCAAGUCCUCAUGGCCCUUACGCGCUGGGCUACACACGUGCUACAAUGGCAACUACAGUGGGCAGCGACCCUGCGAGGGCGAGCUAAUCCCCAAAAGUUGUCUCAGUUCGGAUUGUUCUCUGCAACUCGAGAGCAUGAAGGCGGAAUCGCUAGUAAUCGCGGAUCAGCAUGCCGCGGUGAAUACGUUCCCAGGCCUUGUACACACCGCCCGUCACACCAUGGGAGUUGGAUUCACCCGAAGGCGUUGCGCCAACCCGCAAGGGAAGCAGGCGACCACGGUGGGUUCAGCGACUGGG
rnacentral:rRNA from 1 species